GACGAACGUUGGCGGCGUGCUUAAUACAUGCAAGUCAACUGAAGCAGUGGUAGCAAUAUCGCUGUGGAGGUGGCGCACGGGUGAGUAACACGUAGGUAAUCUGCCUUCAGGUCUGGCAUAACUCCGGGAAACCGGGGCUAAUAGCAGAUGAUGCAGCGGCUCGACAUCGAGACAGUUGUUAAAGCUAUGGCGCCUGAAGAUGAGCCUGCGUCUGAUUAGCUAGUUGGCGGGGUAACGGCCCACCAAGGCAACGAUCAGUAGCUGGUCUGAGAGGAUGAUCAGCCACACUGGAACUGAGACACGGUCCAGACUCCUAAGGGAGGCAGAAGUAAGGAAUAUUGCUCAAUGGGAGAAAUCCUGAAGCAGCAACGCCGCGUGAGGGACGAAGGGCUUUUGCUUGUAAACCUCUGUAGUGAGAGAAAAAAAUCCCAAUCUUUGGGACAUGAUGGUAUCUCAAAAGUAAGCCCCGGCUAACUACGUG
rnacentral:rRNA from 1 species